rnacentral:rRNA from 1 species
CAAGUCGAGCGAGAAAAGGGGGGCAACUCCCUGAGUACAGCGGCGCACGGGUGAGUAACACGUGGGUAAUCUGCCCUGGAGUGGGGAAUAACACCGGGAAACCGGUGCUAAUACCGCAUACGAUAACGAGGUCUGCGGACUUUGUUACGAAAGGAGCAAUUCGCUCUAGGAGGAGCCCGCGGCUGAUUAGCUAGUUGGUGAGGUAAUGGCCCACCAAGGCUACGAUCAGUAUCCGGUCUGAGAGGACGGUCGGACACACUGGAACUGAGACACGGUCCAGACUCCUACGGGAGGCAGCAGUGGGGAAUUUUUGGCAAUGGGGGCAACCCUGACCAAGCAACGCCGCGUGGGUGAUGAAGUCUCUUGGGACGUAAAACCCUUUCGACGGGGAAGAAACCGCAAGGUUGACGGUACCCGUAGAAGAAGCCCCGGCUAACUCCGUGCCAGCAGCCGCGGUAAUACGGGGGGGGCAAGCGUUGUUCGGAAUUACUGGGCGUAAAGGGCGCGUAGGCGGUGCUCUAAGUCGGAUGUGAAAACUCUGGGCUCAACCCAGAGCCUGCAUCCGAAACUGGAGUGCUAGAGUUCUGGAGGGGGUAGCGGAAUUCCUGGUGUAGCGGUGAAAUGCGUAGAUAUCAGGAGGAACACCGGUGGCGAAGGCGGCUACCUGGACAGAAACUGACGCUGAGGCGCAAAAGCUAGGGGAGCAAACAGGAUUAGAUACCCUGGUAGUCCUAGCCCUAAACGAUGGAUACUUGGUGUGACUGGGAUUGAAUCCAGUCGUGCCGAAGCUAACGCAUUAA